rnacentral:rRNA from 1 species
UACGUAGGGUGCAAGCGUUGUCCGGAAUUAUUGGGCGUAAAGAGCUCGUAGGCGGUUCGUCGCGUCGGCUGUGAAAACCCGGAGCUCAACUCCGGGCCUGCAGUCGAUACGGGCGGACUCGAGUUCGGCAGGGGAGACUGGAAUUCCUGGUGUAGCGGUGGAAAUGCGCAGAUAUCAGGAGGAACACCGGUGGCGAAGGCGGGUCUCUGGGCCGAUACUGACGCUGAGGAGCGAAAGCGUGGGGAGCGAACAGG